UGCAUCCAUAAGCGGAGGAAAAGAAACCAACACGGGAUUGCCUCAGUAACGGCGAGUGAAGCGGCAAAAGCUCAAAUUUGAAAUCUGGCCUUGAUUGGUCCGAGUUGUAAUUUGAAGAAGCGACUUUGGUGUGGGCUCUUGUCUAUGUUCCUUGGAACAGGACGUCACAGAGGGUGAGAAUCCCGUGCGAUGAGAUGCCCAUUGCCGUGUAAAGCGUUUUCGACGAGUCGAGUUGUUUGGGAAUGCAGCUCUAAGUGGGUGGUAAAUUCCAUCUAAAGCUAAAUAUUGGCGAGAGACCGAUAGCGAACAAGUACAGUGAUGGAAAGAUGAAAAGAACUUUGAAAAGAGAGUGAAAAAGUACGUGAAAUUGUUGAAAGGGAAGGGCUUGAGAUCAGACUUUGUUUUUCCAUGGUG
rnacentral:rRNA from 1 species